GGGAGGGGGUGUGUGUGUGAGUGAGAGUGUGUGUGUGUGUGUGUGUGUCAGAUCCUGGAGGGCAGGGCUGAUGCACUUGCCACAUG
rnacentral:miRNA from 1 species